UACGUAGGGUGCAAGCGUUAAUCGGAAUUACUGGGCGUAAAGCGUGCGCAGGCGGUUUUGUAAGUCAGAUGUGAAAUCCCCGGGCUUAACCUGGGAACUGCAUUUGUGACUGCAUGGCUAGAGUACGGUAGAGGGGGAUGGAAUUCCGCGUGUAGCAGUGAAAUGCGUAGAUAUCGGGAGGAACACCUGAGGCGAAGGCGGGCUACUGGGCCGAUACUGACGCUGAUGCGCGAAAGCCAGGGGAGCAAACGGG
rnacentral:rRNA from 1 species